rnacentral:rRNA from 1 species
UACAGAGGUCCCGAGCGUUGUUCGGAUUCACUGGGCGUAAAGGGUGCGUAGGUGGUGAGGUAAGUCGGAUGUGAAACUCGGAGCUCAACUCCGAAACUGCAUUGGAAACUACCUCGCUCGAGGGUUGGAGGGGGGACUGGAAUACUUGGUGUAGCAGUGAAAUGCGUAGAUAUCAAGUGGAACACCAGUGGCGAAGGCGAGUCCCUGGACAACUCCUGACACUGAGGCACGAAAGCUAGGGGAGCAAACAGG